rnacentral:tRNA from 1 species
UCAGGUCAGUGUUUUGGUGCACGUUAGGUUUUGGUCCUAAAAGAAUAUUUCGUAUUAUAUCUGUUGU